GACGAACGCUGGCGGCGUGCUUAACACAUGCAAGUCGAACGGAAAGGCCCUGCUUUUGUGGGGUGCUCGAGUGGCGAAUGGGUGAGUAACACGUGAGUAACCUGCCCUUGACUUUGGGAUAACUUCAGGAAACUGGGGCUAAUACCGGAUAGGAGCUCCUGCUGCAUGGUGGGGGUUGGAAAGUUUCGGCGGUUGGGGAUGGACUCGCGGCUUAUCAGCUUGUUGGUGGGGUAGUGGCUUACCAAGGCUUUGACGGGUAGCCGGCCUGAGAGGGUGACCGGCCACAUUGGGGCUGAGAUGCGGCCCAGACUCCUACGGGAGGCAGCAGUGGGGAAUAUUGCACAAUGGGCGGAAGCCUGAUGCAGCAACGCCGCGUGCGGGAUGACGGCCUUCGGGUUGUAAACCGCUUUCGCCUGUGACGAAGCGUGAGUGACGGUAAUGGGUAAAGAAGCACCGGCUAACUACGUG
rnacentral:rRNA from 1 species